rnacentral:rRNA from 1 species
UCCUAGUAACGGCGAGUGAACGGAGAUUAGCCCAUCACCGAAGUCCGGUGCUUUUGCAUACAGGACAAUGUGGUGUUUAAGCUGGUACCUGGGACUGCGAGUCUACCCGAAGUCCAACUUCGAUUGUGGCUUUAUUAUUUUCCCAUGGCGGGUGAUAGGCCCGUACGGGUAGGCUUAUUUUAUGUUUUGCAGUUCUCAGAUGUGCUUGCUUUCGAGUCGGAUUGCUUGAGAAUGCAGUCCAAAGUGGGUGGUAAACUCCAUCCAAGGCUAAAUACUGGCACGAGUCCGAUAGUAGACAAGUACCGUGAGGGAAAGUUGAAAAGUACUCUGAAGAGAGAGUAAAUAGUACGUGAAGCCGGUUGCAGAGAAGCUGGUGGAGUCAAGCUUCAUGCUUGAGAGAUUUGUGUCUGUAACAUUGUGUUAUGUGAUAGUGAGGCUGAUCAACUUGGAAUUAGUUGGGCACAUUCGUGUGUUUCAAGUCAUUCUGGGCUGUGUGUUUGUGUUGGCUUCAUGAUUCUGUUAUAGGCACUCUAUCUCUUGCUGCAUAAAUCACGGUCGAUAGCUGUGUUUUGUAUAUAUAUAUGCUGUAUGGUUGUCUAACUGUACUUUGAUAAGCAUCAUUGUUUGUCGGGUGCAGGAUGGCAGGUAGAUUCUAUGAGCUUUGUGUUCAUAGUAUCUUAUAGUGGUUUAUACCAGCUGAUGGCCAUGCUAGUAUUAUAGCUAUCGUUGUUUUAUAAUACAUUGUCUAUAUGGCAUUGUAUUA